rnacentral:tRNA from 1 species
GUUAGGUUAGCAAAAAUUAAUGUAUUUGAUUUAGGUUCAAAAGGUGGGUCACCCACCUAACU